rnacentral:rRNA from 1 species
UACAGAGGCCUCGAGCGUUAGGCGGAAUCACUGGGCUUAAAGCGUGUGUAGGCGGACUUCUAAGUACCUUGUGAAAUCCCACGGCUCACCCGUGGAACUGCUUGGUAUACUGGUUGUCUUGAGCCAGCUAGGGGCUACCGGAACAAAUGGUGGAGCGGUGAAAUGCGUAGAUAUCAUUUGGAACGCCAAUGGUGAAAACAGGUAGCUGGGGCUGUGCUGACACUGAGACACGAAAGCCAGGGGAGCAAACGGG